CAGAGUUUUAGUUGAUCUUGCAAUUCCAUGUGAUAGACUGGGCCCUCCAGUAUUUCAAGGCAUCACUGUUGGUUUUCAUCCAAGAUCAUGGGAACUUGUUUAUAAUGGCAUGACCCAAAUUGGUUUUGAGAAACCCCACCAUGAUUUUAGCUUUCAUAUAGGGCAAACUCAGGUAGUUUUGUUUAUGACUGCAGUUGCUUCACUUUCUUCCCUAGUUCAAAAGCCUAGUUUAAAGGUACAUUUAGUCUCUGGGGAACUGUUUUUGGCUUUCCUUAAGGUACUGGGGGCAUGACCAUUGUUGAAUGCUGCUAAUUAGGUACUUCCAGAUAAGGGCCUUGAAGUUGGAUUGUCGGGGUCUGCUGCCAAAGGGAAGCCUCCUAUAAUGUUGUCACCCUCAAUGUUGAUUGUUGAUUAGAGAUGUAUGGUCCCACUUAUUUUAGGAUCAUCAAUGUUCUUUUCUUUGUUAAAGUUUAAUGUUUCAACUCUUUUCCAGGUGAGGUGGUCCGUAAUACCCCAUAUGAAGUUAAUAUCACAAUCCCUGUUGAGGGUUAUGAGCCAAUUGAAUUUGUGCUUACAAAAACAUGUGUUAAUGAUACUAA